rnacentral:rRNA from 1 species
UUUGGUUAAGUUAGAAAGGGCGCACGGUGGAUGCCUUGACACUAGGAGUCGAUGAAGGACGGGACUAACGCCGAUAUGCUUCGGGGAGCUGUAAGUAAGCUUUGAUCCGAAGAUUUCCGAAUGGGGAAACCCACCAUACGUAAUGGUAUGGUAUCCUUAUCUGAAUACAUAGGGUAAGG